AACGUAGGAGGCAAACGUUAUCCGGAGUUAUUGGGCGUAAAGGGCGUGUAGGCGGUAUGUUAAGUCUGGCGUGAAAGCUCUCGGCUAAACCGGGAGAGGUCGUUGGAUACUGGCAAACUAGAGGAUGGUAGAGGCGUGUGGAAUUCCUGGUGUAGUGGUGAAAUGCGUAGAGAUCCGGAGGAACACCAAUGGCGAAGGCAGCACGCUGGGCCAUACCUGACGCUAAAGCGCGACAGCAUGGGGAGCAAACGGG
rnacentral:rRNA from 1 species